rnacentral:rRNA from 1 species
UACGAAGGGUGCAAGCGUUACUCGGAAUUACUGGGCGUAAAGCGUGCGUAGGCGGUUAGUUAAGUCUGUCGUGAAAGCCCCGGGCUCAACCUGGGAAUGGCGAUGGAUACUGGCUAGCUAGAGUGUGUCAGAGGAUGGUGGAAUUCCCGGUGUAGCGGUGAAAUGCGUAGAGAUCGGGAGGAACACCAGUGGCGAAGGCGACCACCUGGACUGAUACUGACACUGAGGUGCGAAAGCGUGGGGAGCAAACAGG